CGGCGGACGGGUGAGUAAUGCCUAGGAAUCUGUCUGGUAGUGGGGGACAACGUUUCGAAAGGAACGCUAAUACCGCAUACGUCCUACGGGAGAAAGCAGGGGACCUUCGGGCCUUGCGCUAUCAGAUGAGCCUAGGUCGGAUUAGCUAGUUGGUGAGGUAAUGGCUCACCAAGGCGACGAUCCGUAACUGGUCUGAGAGGAUGAUCAGCCACACUGGAACUGAGACACGGUCCAGACUCCUACGGGAGGCAGCAGGG
rnacentral:rRNA from 1 species